rnacentral:rRNA from 1 species
CAUUACCGAAGAAACGGGGUCUUGAGACUGCGUCCUUUUGUGGCGUGUGCUCGGCUCCUUCUCUUUCAUCCACACACRCCUGUGCACUUAUGGGGACGUCAAGUCCCCCCACACACAAACACCUAGUYUAAUGCAUGUUUUUAKAUACUCUACGGAGUAAAUAUACAACUUUCAACAACGGAUCUCUUGGCUUUCGCAUCGAUGAAGAACGCAGCGAACGUGCGAAACGUAAUGUGAAUUGCAGAAUUCAGUGAAUCAUCGAAUCUUUGAACGCAUCUUGCGCUCCUUGGUAUUCCGAGGAGCAUGCCUGUUUGAGUGUCGUGAAAUCAUCUCAAUUUCAAUCUUUUUUGGUUUGGAAUUGGAUUUGGGUGUUGUUGUGAAUGUCAUAACUCAUCCUAAAUGUAUGAGCGGUCUGUCAUUGAUCACACACAAUGUGAUAAAUAAAAAGCAUUGUUAUAAUCAAGUCAGGAUGGCUUCUAACUGUCGAAAGACAAAAGCAUGUCUUCUGUGCAUGCACAUGUCAUUUGACCUCARAUCAGGUAGGACUACCCGCUGAACUUAAGCAUAUCAAUA